UGAUAGUGACAAACAUCAGGAGCUGAAACAAUUUUGGGGAAUUUAAUUCAGUAUAUUUGAAAAAGCAGCAAUAAAAUAAAAAUCACAAGUUACAAAUCAUAUUAUUUUUUUAUUCAUAAAAUAACCACUCAAGCUUAUUUACAAUCAAGGCACAAUGAUUCAAGACCUCCAGUACCAUAAACAGUGGGAAAUUCCAGUAAACAACAAAUAUAUAUAUUCAUUUAUUUAUAUGUGAAUGUAUUUAUGUACACAUCGCUAAAGAUAAGAAAUUUUGGCAGCCUG